rnacentral:rRNA from 1 species
UGGGGAAUAUUGGACAAUGGGCGAAAGCCUGAUCCAGCCAUGCGGCGUGUGUGAAGAAGGUCUUCGGAUUGUAAAGCACUUUAAGUUGGGAGGAAGGGCAGUAAGCUAAUACCUUGCUGUUUUGACGUUACCGACAGAAUAAGCACCGGCUAACUCUGUGCCAG